rnacentral:lncRNA from 1 species
GCUGCUGGGAACGACCCGCCCUCUGCCCGCACUCCUUGCCUUCCCUCCUUCCUGUUUGUGCGGUUUGGACCUACUUAGCCGUCCAAGCCUGGAGCGAAAUGAAAAUCUGGAUUUGGCCCCGACACGCGCAAAGCAGGACGCCUUCAGACAUAGCAAAGGCGGAACAGGGAUCAAGGCUCCGCAGCUCGAGUCCUGGCACCUCCGCCACGAGACCAGAACUAGUGAACCGUGGUUCGCGGACCCGGGCCUCAGCCUCCGGCGGUCCAGAGUGAGCGCAGCCAGUGGGAGCCUCCUGAAAUUCGAACCCUCUCCAGCUACACCUCUCGGAGUGCCCAGGCCCAGCUGCCGUCGAGGUUAGGUUCAGCAACAGAGCCUGAUAGACGGACAGAUCAACCGGGCUCCCCGCUGACCACAAAGCCAACGGAAGAGUGAUGGCCACCCUAACCGCGGUGCGUUUCUCCGCACCUGACAGCGGAUCUUGGGUGCUCUGGCAUUUCUUCUUGGUUAUUAAAGCUGUGCCACCUGGUGGUAGCAUAGCAUCUUGCUGUUUCUUUUUCUUGCAAAUUGUACCCAAAAGGGAUAUUAUUCUGAAAUUGUGGCUUGCUGAGAGAAAGCUAAGAUUUACAUCAGUACUCACAAAGAGGUGUUAAGUUGCCAGCUCUUCAAAAUUCGUGAAAAGAUGAAGAGAAAUUUCAACCCCAGCUACUCAAACCUGAUAGGCUAGGUGGGUAGUUGAACCCCAGGAGUUCAAGUGCCUGAUGGCCUGUCUCAAGCAAAAGUCAAGAAAAUCAUCUGUCCAAAUUCAGAUGUGUCCCUCAUAUCCCUCCCCUAAUUCAUUCCGAUUCACCAGGUGUUCUGACAACAAACAUCAGCUGAUUUACACAGAGCAGCCUAGCUCCUACCUUCAGUUCCUGAGGAAAAUCCUAAUGAGGGGCUGUGGAAUAUUUAAUGGCUUUUUUUGGAAAAAAAAGGUAAACACAGCCUUGGAAUUUCAUAAUGAUCAGUGAUGUUUAUAAAUGGCAUAUGAUGUUGCUAUUGUAACUAAUUGCCUCUGGGGUUAAAGCCAGCGCACAUGUGAUAUGCAUGCACAGGAAAACCCUAGGAGACGUUCGUGGUUCUUAGCCCUGGAUGCCAUAGAAGCAUGAUUAGAGAACACGUGUUUAUCCCUCAGAGAGACCACAUUCCGAGGCUGUUUUCAGUGAGACAACAUGCUUGUUUUGAUACCUGGGUCCACUCACUACGUUUAUGAAAAGUUGUGUUUACAAGACAGCGGGGCCAAUUAGAAUGUCUCAGAAGGACAGGCUACCGUGGCCACUAUUGGGCCGCACCUGAAAGCUCUGUGUAUUCAGAAACCCGCCAACCAGUGCGUACUUUUCAAUUUUCCAGAAAUGGAGAAAGGCAACAUGACAGAACAACAAAGCAUGAAUAUAGUGUGACAUUUGAGAGCUGUUAAAGUUUAGCCCCUGUGACAGUCAUUUGUGAUCCUUUCAUGACUGUUCCCACACACUGUGCCAAUCUCAAGGACCUUUCCUAGCACCGUGGGUGGCAACAAAAUGACUUAACCAUGUAGGCCUAAAAGCAGCCACCAAUAGAGAAAGUGUUCAAGCUCAACAUAAAAAUUAAACUAAUUAUAUAAAAUAAUUUCCUAAACUAUAAAUUGAGUUAAUCUAUAAUUUUAUAGAUGAAAUGUACUCAAGAUGAAUGUGAACACUUCCCAUGCCUUAUUCCUGUGAGAAAUACAUCAUUUUUAGCUCUUCUCAGCACACCUGCCAAAAGCCUUCUGGCUAGAAUCCUUGAGACCCUCUCCUUGUCCUCAGCAAUGUCACAUAUGGAACAUAUUGGAGGUUCCAAUGACACCCAGUCUAUGUGGACAUUCUGGAAACCUUGGUAUUUAAAAGUUCAGGAGCCUAGCAGUGUUGAUAUGUCUUAGAGUCACAGAGCACUGUCAGACUUGGAAGAUCAGUCUGGUCACACCAACCAAUCUCCCUGAGGUCCUGCUUGUGCAUUUCACUCCAUACAAGAACAGUUCUCUAGAUGGGAUACUCAAAUAUGUAUAAAUACUCUAAAAACAUUUCCUGAUAGCUCUAGGUAAAAUGAAAUAUGAAAUCAAGCUUGAAGAGAAGUAAAACUUCCUAGCAUUCAAGAAGUGAAGGCAGGAGGAUUAUGGAUUUGAAGCCAGCUUGAGCUACAUAUUGAGGCUAUAUAUCAAGAAAAGAACGUUGUAAUAAAUGGCGGUUCGAAUGAGAA